rnacentral:rRNA from 1 species
UACGAAGGGGGCUAGCGUUGCUCGGAAUGACUGGGCGUAAAGGGCGCGUAGGCGGUUCGUACAGUCAGACGUGAAAUUCCCGGGCUCAACCUGGGGGCUGCGUUUGAUACGUGCGGGCUUGAGUUCGGAAGAGGGUCGUGGAAUUCCCAGUGUAGAGGUGAAAUUCGUAGAUAUUGGGAGGAACACCAAUGGCGAAGGCAGCUCGCUGGGACGGUACUGACGCUGAGACGCGAAAGCGUGGGGAGCAAACAGG